AACCCCGACUGUUCACCAAAGACAUUACUUCUAGCAUGAAUACUGUUAGAGGCACUGCCUGCCCAGUAACAUAUAUUUAACGGUGGAAGUAUCCUGACCUUGCAAAGGUAGCAUAAUCACUUGUUCCUUAAAUAGGGACUUGUAUGAAUGGUAUGACAUGGUUU
rnacentral:ncRNA from 1 species